ensembl:ncRNA C09B7.8 ncRNA
GUACCUUCUUUCGUAGGGGCACGACACUUGGUCGGCCAAACGAAGUGCAUCAAUAAUCGACUGCGUUGGCUGAAAAUCAAUAAAUAUUUUUACUAGCAUUGGAUCAACCCAUGGACCAAAAAAACCGAUGUUAUAACUGAGAUGGUUCAGAAUAGAAUAGCUGAGAUGAGCAAAAAAUGAACAAUGAAUGGAAUUCGGGUGUCAACACAACUUUUAAAUGCAUAAUAAUGGCGUAGAACUCGCAUCCUAGAUGUUUGGUUUCGCCAUUUUUGACAGGGAAUCAACAAUAUAUUAGAAAAA